rnacentral:pre_miRNA from 1 species
CAAGUACUCCCUCCGUUUCGAAUUACUUGUCACAAGUAUGGAUGUAUCUAGAUGUAUUUUAGUUCUAGAUACAUCCAUUUCUGCGACGAGUAAUUUGGAACAGAGUGAGUAGUAG